CCCAGUGUGGUCACAUGCUCAGUAUCACAAUCCGUCCAGUGUGGUGACGGGCUCAUUAUUACAAUCUGACCGGUAUGGUACAUGCUCAAUAUCACAAUAUGUUCGUCAUGGGAAAAGGUUCAUUAUCACAAUCCGUUCGGGUGGUCGAGGGCUACUUGUCUUAACCAUAUUGCAGAGAAAGCAGAUAUACAAGAAUACAUGUACAUGAUCAAUAAACAUCAACUUUCAUCCUCCUGGACUAGAAUAGAUGACAUGUUAUGGUGUAUGCAUGUGCAAGUGUAUUAUCACAACUCAAAUCAUCAUGUAGUAUUAGAGACAUCGAGUAGCAUAUUAGGAACAACAUAACCAAUAAUAUAAUGUGCAUGAGACACACAAAGAAGUAAUAAGUAUAAGAAAUGAUACCCAUUUUCACCAACAACAUGCCCCCAAGACAUCAUAUACCAUCCCCCACAUAGCCACCUUUAUCUUACCGUAUUGACAGUAUCAUAAUAAACACACGUAUCGCUCCACCUAGGUUAUAUAUCAAUAGAAACCCAUAUCGCUCCACCCCGACAUAUCACUCCGCCCAGACAAUAACACAAUAGCCACAUGUAUCACUCCACCCCGAUAACAUAUCAAUAGCUACCCGUAUCACUCUUCACAAUCAACAAUAGUGAAAUGCCACCCUUGUGUUCUACACGAUCAACAAUAGUUAAAUGCCACCCUUAUGCUCUGCACAGCAACAAUCAAUCCCCACAACAUGUCCACAUAUGCCACAAUAUUGCCAAAACAACAAUACCAAUAUUAGAAUAAAGCAUAGCCUAAGUCUCAACAACAAUGUACAUAAAAGAAUUUUAACAACAACAAAAUAAAACGGGAAAUAACUCGGCAAUGAAAGAUAUUCCAUAUAACAACAAUGUCAAUUAAGAGCAUAUUAAUAACUUAAGAGUCUGGACCAAUAAAUUUUCACAUAUCAGCCCGAGUACACGCUCAUCACCUCAUGUACACGUCUUUCACAUAAUUCAAAUAAUGAAAUUAGACCAAAGCCUAUGGGAAAGUUCUCCCACACAAAGUUAGGCAAGAUACUUACCUCCAAUAAGCUAAAUCAAUCCACAAAUAAGCCCUUCUCAUGUGAAACAACCUUCGAACGACUCAAAUCUAGCCAAAAUAACUUAAUAUCAUAAAUAAAAGGCAUAAAAAUAAUUUCGGAUAAUAAAGAUUUGAUCUUUCAUGAAAAUAAAAAAGUAAACCCAGAAAUUCAACCUUGGGCUUGCACCUUGUAAUCCGACAAAACUUAUAAAUUCUAAAUACUUAUUCCGAAACGAGUCCAACUAUAACAAAAUCAUCCAAUUCUGAUCUCAAAUUGGCCUUCAAAUCAUCAAUUUAUAUAUUAGAAAAGUUUUUACUAAGAUACCCAAUUUCCUCAAUCAAAUCAUCAAUUCAACACUAAAAUCGAGGUUGGAAUCAUGAAAUAAAAAAAUCAAAGUAAAACAUACUUACC
rnacentral:lncRNA from 1 species